ACCCGGACGGUCACGUACGGGACCCGUCCACGUCCGCGCUCUGCGCGGCGAGAUGCAAGGGUCCGCGAUGGCCGGCCCGGUGGAGGUUGUGCCAUG
rfam:Chloroflexi bacterium RBG_16_70_13 RBG_16_scaffold_34780, whole genome shotgun sequence.